rnacentral:rRNA from 1 species
GACGAACGCUGGCGGCAUGCCUAACACAUGCAAGUCGAGCGAGCAGAUCCCUUCGGGGUGAAGCUAGCGGCGGACGGGUGAGUAACACGUGGGCAACCUGCCUCAUAGAGGGGAAUAGCCUUCCGAAAGGAAGAUUAAUACCGCAUAAGAUUGUAGCUUCGCAUGAAGUAGCAAUUAAAGGAGCAAUCCACUAUGAGAUGGGCCCGCGGCGCAUUAGCUAGUUGGUGAGGUAACGGCUCGCCAAGGCGACCAUGCGUAGCCGACCUGGGAGGGUGAUCGGCCACAUUGGGACCGAGACACGGCCGAGACUCCUACGGGUGGCAGCAGUGGGGAAUAUUGCACAAUGGGGGAAACCCUGAUGCAGCAAUGCCGCGUGAGUGAUGACGGCCUUCGGGUUGUAAAGCUCUGUCUUCGGGGACGAUAAUGACGGUACCCGAGGAGGAAGCCACGGCUAACUACGUGCCAGCAGCCGCGGUAA